GACGGAGGAUGCAAGCGUUAUCCGGAAUGAUUGGGCGUAAAGCGUUCGCAGGUGGCUAUUCAAGUCUGCUGUCAAAGACCGGGGCUUAACCCCAGAGAGGCAGUGGAAACUGAAUGGCUGGAGUGCAGAUCGGGUAGGGGGAAUUCCCAGUGUAGCGGUGAAAUGCGUAGAGAUUGGGAAGAACACCGGUGGCGAAAGCGCUCUGCUGGACUGCAACUGACGCUGAGGUACGAAAGCUAGGGGAGCGAAUGGG
rnacentral:rRNA from 1 species